rnacentral:lncRNA from 1 species
GAAACAUUUUCCUAUGUAUCUCUGUUAGGAUGGAUUAAAGGAGUGAGCUUUUGGAAACUCCUGAUUCUUAUACCAUAGACAGCUAUCUCUUGUUCUCUCUUUUAAAGCAAUUCCUUUGGCAUGAGAUACUGCCCCAGAAAUAACCCUCCACUUUUCUUCUCGGAGGACAGAAAUAUCCACUUAACAGUCAGGUCAUACCAGAGAUCCUGGAAAAUAUCUGGAUCACAAAUCCCUGUCAGCAAUGACCAGUGAACAAAAUCUGGGCCAAGUCCUUCCUUGAAUAAUGGCCUCCCUGGAUGAGCCAACAGGUCAUGCAGGAGGUAAGUACCUCAGAUGGCAAGAGAAAUGCAGGUUUCAGAGAUGAAAGCUGACAACUGUCAUGGGAAAAUUAAAAAGAAUUUAGGAGCUAAGUGUGCAAACACGUCAAGAGGUUUUUCUUUCUGGGAAAGGGGCAGAGAAGGAGCAUUAGGUAUUACUGAGGUGUUCAUUUUCAUGGCUCUGUUAGUCUGAGAUGAAAGGAGAGUCCAGCUCUGGGAGAGAGGUAGAGAGGAGGAGUUGGUGAUCUUGGUGUUAGCCUGACUCCCUUCACCUUCAAUUACAUUCCUGGUAUGUCCUUCCUGCCUGACUCUGCUGGAGGCAGUAAGUGUGUAAUGCUUUGUGACAACAGGGAAAGGAACUUUAGGGACAGGCACAUUCAUCUAGAGGACACAUAGUUAACAACAGUCAGUUGGUUCUACUUCUUACAUAUUGUAACUUAAAAAAAAAAUCUGGUUUUAAAAAUGCUUUUCUAAGUGACAAGAACAAAGCCUGUAAAAAAAAAAAAAAAGCAAAAACCAAAGCAUGAAAUAUCUCUCUGCCGUCCAAAGGCCAUCUUCUCUAGAGCUCACUGACAGUUCUUAGUAGUUGGUUUUGUAGCCUCCCAGGCUUCUUUUUUGUUUUCACAUAAAAGCAGUUAAAACUCUCUUCCCCUUGAAAUAGGAUGUUAAUAAACAUGUUAUUUUGGAGUUUUCACUUUUCAUCUAUCAGCUUUGAAGCUUUCUAUGUCAGGAUUUCUAGCUUCCAUUAAAAAAUGUUGUACAGUAUUCCACUGCACUGUAUUGAACGCUUGUUUGUUUUCAGUGUGGAGCUAUUGCAUAAUACCCCCAAACCACGUGUUUAUGUUUAUAUUCCUUACUAAUAUGUUAGUAGUCUACAGUCCAUUGAGUUUGCUGAGUUAAAGAAUGUGUGUUGUACUAUAUUUUGCAAAUAUACUGCAACUUUGUCUUUCCCAAGAAAUCUUUUCCUCCAAUGUGUGUAUUUAGUUUCCUUAAGGAAAAAAAAAAAGUUAUAUUCCCACAAGCUGUGUAGAAAAGGGCUAGUAAUUCUACAUUCUCAUGAGCAGUGGCUAUUACUAAAUGUUGUGAAAUUUUUUUUGGUCAUCUUGAUUGGUCAAACCAGGAAUCCAAUGGUUUACCUAGUGUUUACUUGUUGAAGUGGAAUUAUUUUCAGAUGUGUUAGCCUUUUAUACUCCUUUGUCUAUGAAUAAUCUUCAUCAAUUAUAUGACAUAAUUUUUAUUGCUUUAAGGGAAAAUUAUAUGUAUUAUAGCCAAUCCUUUCCAUAGUAUUUACUAUAUAUUUUUCUCCUGGACUACUAUCUUUUCCAAACUUUUAUUCACAGUUUCUUUAGCCAUAUUGUAGUUUUAAUUUUAAAAACCAAUCUGGUUGAAUUUUCACAUUUGUCCAUGUUUUCUUUUAUGGCUACCUAGAAAUGUCAUUCAUACUCAAAGAUUUUAAAAUAUCAUCUCAUAUUUUCUCUAGAAACUUUUAUAAUAUUUCUGUGCAUUUAGAUUUAAUAAUUAUACAAUUAAUUCUUGUGUAAAAUCUUAAUAAUAUUUCAUAACUGGCAAACCAAUUAGUCCUAAUACCAAUUAUUGUAUAAUCUAACCCAUCCAUUCUCAUUAACUUGAAAUGUCACCUACUUAAUAAUGAUUUCAUGUAACUACAUUAUUCUAUUUGAAGGCUGUUUAUUUUAUUUUAACAGUCUAAUGUCUAUUCUGUCCCAAGUUCACAAUAUAAUGACUUUACAGCAAGUUUCACUAUCAUGUACAGAAAUUACUAAUCCUUAAUUUUGGAUUUAAGUUUUAUAUUUAUUUUUUAGGUGAACUUUAAAAUCCAUUUACCUAUUUCAAAACAAACACAAGUACAAUGCUUUAGCUACAUUUAAUUGACCAAUAUAAUUAAUUGGUUGUUGGGCUGGGUUUGAGGUUCAGUGGUAGAUCACUUGCCUCGAAUACGUAAGGCACUGGGUUCGAUUGUCAGCACUACAUAAAAAUUAAUAAAAUAAAAAUAAAAAUAUUGUGUCCAUCUACAACUUAAAAAAUAUUUUAAAAAAUUAAUUGGUCGUCAUUGGCAUAAUAUCGAAUAUUAAUAGUACUAGAAAGUACUUUGUCCAUUUUUUUUCCUAUCCAUUUAUUCAAGUUAUUUUUGAGGUUACUUUAUUUGAGCUUUUUGGUUUAUUUUAUGUGGUGGUAAAUAUUUGAAGUAAAUACAAAAUUGUAUAAAUUGUAAUUACUGCUGUUGCUUCAGAAUGGAGCUCUUACCUUGUUCAGUUGUUAUCAGUACUGGUGAAAAAGAAAUUAACCCAGUCUUGUAUAUUUAUCUUGUAUCUUUCUACCAUGCCUUUUAUCAUUUUAACAGUAUUGCAGUUAAUUUGCUUGGAUUUCCUAGACUGUGAAUAUCUGCAGAAAUAUUUCUGUUUUCUCUUUUUCAGUAUGUAAGCUCUUAUUUCUUUUUUGCUUUCCCUUUACCUAAAACUCCUUGAGCAAAUACACCAUUUCAAGUGCUGGUAGACUUUAUUAGUUUUUUUUUUAUUUAUGGUUUUAAGGAAAAAUAUCUCACUUAGAAAUUAUUUAUUUUAAAUUGGCAGAUAAAAUUAUGUAUGUAUGGUGCACAAGAUGAUGUUUUGAAGUAUGUAUCCAUUGUAGAAAGAUUAAUCCAGCUAAUGAACAUAUAUAUAACUUUUUUGUGUGUGUGUGUGGGGGGGACAUUUUACAUUCACUCUUAGCAUUUUUCCAAUACAACAUAUUGUUAACUGAUGUUUUCAGGUUUUUGAUAGAAAAAUAUAUUUCAAUUUUGGGAAAGAGAAUCCACAUCUUUAACUUAAAUCUCUACUAUGGCAAAGAGUAUAAUCAACUUUAUGACUAUUUUGGGCCAAUUUUGGUAAUUUAUAUAUUUUUUUUCUAUAAAAUUUUCUCUUCUUACAUGUUGAACUUGAAAAAAAUAUAUCCACUGGUCUCUAUAAAGAUAUCUAAAUGCUGUCAUCUUUAAGUUGACUUUGUAAACUUUGGAAUGAUUUUCAUUUGCAGUGCACUCAAGUGUUAAGAGUAUAUUUUUUUAGCCCUUAGCACUUGAUACUAUGUUUGAGAAAAAAAUAGUAACAGGUGCCAUAAUCUUAUAUUUUGAUGAUGAGUUUUAUAUUACUUUGUAAAGAACUAUUGUUUGGUGCUAUAGAUAUAAUUAACACAGUGCUAGGCAAAUAAAUGGCAAGUAGAUAACCAGUGCCUGCCAUGGAUACAUAAAGAUUUUUAAAUAUUUUAAAGUCAAUAAAACAAUUAUGAAUUAUCCAUUUCAGCAAUACAAAAUAUCUUCUUUCAAUUCAUAGCUCCAUCAUGGUAGUGAAUGUUAGUUGUUCAAGCAAAUGUCCAUUUUUUUCCUCUGCCUUAGAAAGAAGUUAUGUAAUUUUUUUCAAGGUCAUGGACUUAGUAAGUGUUGGAGCACAUAUUCAAAUUCAAGUUUACCUAUUCUUAGAGUCAAACCUCCAUCCUCCUUUAUACACUUCAUAUAAGUUAUGAUUCAUAUGCCUAUGGGUUCAAAGAUAUCUCUAGAGAGGAGACUAUACGUGAUUUGAGACAUAAGGAAUAAAACAAGUUGGUCAGGGAGUCAAAAUGGGAAGGUGUGAAAUGGGUAAGAGAAACAACCCGAAUGCUUAUGGGAAUCAAAGUGUACAGUGUGUUCAGGACCUGCAAACAGUUGAAUGCAAAUAAAUCUCAGUUCUAGGUUUUCUUAGGGCAAUUGAUUCAAAUCUAUACUCCUAGAAUCAUGAGCCAUCAAGACAAACUCCAAAGAGGCAACAUACUACAAGGGUUGAGAACCUCAGAGCACAGAUCCUGUCCAAAAGACUUGGGAUUGAACUGGGUUAGAAUCUGUACUCCACCAGACUCUUGCUUUUUUGUCUGUAGUUAAAUUACUUAAUUUCACCAAGUUUCACCUAUUUAAAUGACAAAUUAGGCAUCUUAUCAUCUGCUCUAUAAGUUUAUGUUAAGGCCACAGGUAUAUCAAACUGAAAAAUAGUAGCUAACAUGCAAUUAUUGACAAUAUCAUAAUCUUUCUGUCAUUAUUUUUAACAUUUGAAUCAAAUAAAAAAAAAACCCUGUAGAAUAGUGCUGGAGACUAUGUCUUCAUUUUUGUUGACUUGACCCAGGCAACAUUAUUUCUACCCUGGGCCCAAGAAACAAUCCUUACCUGUUCUGUGUUCCCACUGCAUUCUACUGUAUGGAUAUAUCAUAGUUUAUGCAACCAAUUUUCUAUAUGUGGGCGUUUAUUGUGUUACAAAUAUUUUUAAAUUAUAAAAAUGCUUCAGAGAGUAUGCCUGGUGGACAUGUAUCCUCAUAUUGUUAAAGUUGUACCAGCAGAAAAAAUUCUAGAAAAGGAAUUGUUAGGUCAAAAUGUAAAGGAAUAUACAGUUUUGCUAGAGAUUACCAAAUUCAUCUCCAUAAGAAUCGUGACUUUUGCUUUUCCACCAGAAUGUUGUUCAGAGAAGGGCUGGGAAAUGGCAUCUUAAUACAAAUUUAGUUGCUUUUCUCUUAUGAAUAUAAUCAUUUUUUCCCAUGUAUUUAAGUGCAAUGAUGAUUAGUUUAUGUGUUAAUUUAACAGAGCUAAGGGAUGCCCAGAUAGCUGGUAAAAUAUAUUUUCUAGUUGUGUCUGUGAAGUUGUUUCCGGAAAAGAUUAUCAUUUGAAUCAGGAAAAUGAGAAAAAAAAAAAUCAUCCUUGUGUGUGAGCAUCACCCAAUACAGUGAGGGCCUGGACAGAAUAAAAAGGUGGAGAAAGGUGAACUCACCCUUUCCUUUUGUGAUGCAAUAAUCCUCUCCCCUGCACUUGGAUGACAGAGCUCAGGAAUCCCUGGUCUUGAAACUCUGGGGUGCGCAUGAGCAGCCCCUGAUUCUCAGGCUCUUUGCCCUGGACUUGGAGUUACAUCAUUCAUUGCCCAGCUUUCAAAUUCAGGCUGAAUAUGCCAUCAUCUUUUCUGGUUCUCCAGCUUGUAGAAGUCAUUUUGUGAAAAUUACUAUAUUUUUUAGAUUUGUUUACUUAUUUUAAUUAGGUAUAUAUAACAGCAGAAUGCUUUUUGAUUCAUUGUAUGCAACUGCAGCACAACUUCACAUUUCUAUGGUUGUACAUGAUGGAGUGUCACACCAUAUGUGCAGUCACACAUGUACCUAGGGUAAUGAGGUUCAUCUCAUUCUACCAUCUUUCGGGCCCCCAUGCAUCCUUCCUACCCUCCCUCCACUUUUCCCAAUUAAAGUUCCUCCAUUUUACCUGUGCCUCCCCCUUCCGCCUUAUGGAUCAGCAUCCACUUAUCAGAGACAACAUUUGGCCUUUGGUUUUUGGGAUUGGCUUACUUCACUUAGCAUGAUAUUCUCCAGCUUCAUCAAUUUACUUGCAAAUGCCAUAAUUUCAUUCUCUUUUAAUGCUGAGUAAUAUUCCUUUGUGUAUAUAUACCACAUUUUCUUUAUCCAUCCAUCUAGUUCAAGGGCACCUAGGUAAUUUCCAUAGUUUAGCAGUUGUGAAUUGUGCUGCUAUAAACAUUGAUGUGGCUGUGUUACUAUAGUAUGCUAUUUUUAAAUCUUUAGGGUAUAGAAUGAGGAGUGGGAUAGCUGGGUCAAACGGUGGUUCCAUUCCAAGUUUUCUAAGGAAUCUCCAUACUGCUUUCCAGAUUGGUUGCACCAAUUUGCAGUCUCAACUGCAAUGUAUGAGUGGGCCUUUCCCCCCACAUCCUUGCCGACAUUUAUUAUUAUCUGUAUUCUUUUUUUUAAAUAUUUUUUUUAGUUGUCAAUGGGCCUUUAUUUUAUUCAUUUAUAUGAGGUGCUGAGAAUCAAACCCAGUGCCUCACACGUGCUAGGCAAGUGCUCAACCACGGAGCUACAACCCCAGUCCUUGUCUGUAUUCUUGAUAGCUGCCAUUUUGACCAGUGUGAGAUGAAAUCUUAUUAGAGUAGUUUUGAUUUGCAUUUCUCUAAUUACUGGAGAUGUUGAACAUCUUUUCAUAUAUUUGUUGAUCAAUUGUACAUUUUCUUCUGAGAAGUGUCUGUUCAGCUCCUUAGCCCAUUUAUUGAUUGGGUUGUUUGAUUUUUUGGUGUUAUGUUUUUUGAGUUCUUUGUAUAUCCUGGAGAUUAGUGCUCUGUCUGAUGUGUGUGCAGCAAAAAUUUGCUCCCAAGAUGUAUGCUCUCUAUUUACCUCACUGAUUGUUUCUUUUGCUGAGAAGAAACUUUUUAGUUUGAGUCCAUCCCAUUUAUUAACUGUUGAUUUUAUUUCUUGCACUUUUGGAGGAAGUCGGGACCUACUCUGACAUGAUGAAGAUUUGGCCUACUUUUUCCUCUGUUCGGCAUAGAGUCUCUGGACUACUUCCUAGGUCCUUGAUCCUUUGACUUUGAGUUUUGUGCAUGGUGAGAGAUAGGGUUUUAUUUUCAUUUUGUUGCAUAUGUAUUUCCAGUUCUCCCAGCACCAUUUGUUGAAGAGGUUCUUUUUUCUCCACUGUAUGUUUUUGGUGCCUUUGUCUAGUAUGAGAUAACUGUAUUUAUGUGGGUUUGUCUCUGUGUCUUCUAUUGUGUUCCAUUCGUCUACAUGUCUGUUUUGGUGCCAAUACCAUGUCAUUUUUUUUUAACUAUAGAUUUGUAGUAUAGUUUAAGGUCUGGUAUUGUAUGCCUCCUGCUUCACUCUUCUUGCUGAGGAUUGCUUUGGCUAUUCUGGGUCUCUUCUUUUUCCAAAUGAAUUUCAUGAUUGCUUUUUCUAUUUCUAUGAGGAAUGACAUUGGGAUUUUAUUUGAAAUCACAUUGAAUCUGUAUAGUGCUUUGGGUAGUAUGGCCAUUUUGUCAAUAUUAAUUUUGCCUAUUCAAGAGCAUGAGAGAUCUUUUCAUCUUCUAAUGUCUUCUUCAAUUUCUCUCUUUAGUGUUCUAUAGUUUUCAUUCUAGAGAUCUUUCACCUCUUUUGUUAAGUUGACUCCCAAUUAUUUUAUUUAUGUGGAUCAAAUCCCAUGGACAGGUCCUCUCCCCCACCCUCCCUUUCCUAUUGGUUCUGUUUCUCAGAAGAACCCUAAUCCCGAAUAUUAACAUGACUUUAUACAUUUUAAAAGGAAUAUUUUAUUGAUUGUUUUGCUAUGAAGUUGGGCUUUCCCUGCAUUUUAAAAUAGUUCUUUAUUAGGGAUAUUUAAAUUUUUUCUGAUACAUAGGAUGUAAAUAUUUCUCUAAGAUUACCAUUUGUUUUUUGAUAUUGCAAUAUAUAUUCAUACAUAUCCAUAUACAUUACAAUAUAUUUUUCCAUGAAAAAGGUUAUUACAUAUAUAUUUUUACAUAGUUAACUUUCAUUGGUACCCCUGUCAUUGACUGCAUUUGGAUUCAAGUUAUUGACAAAAGUUUUUCCUACAUUCAGGUUAUAGAAAAAUUCACUAUUUCCUUAGUGUUUGUGUGCAUGUUUUAUUCUAUGGAUAUGGAUUAACAUAGGGUGAAUUAAUAGCUUUACGACGUCCACUCAUUUGAUGCACCUUUAUAUGUGUGUGUGUACUUGUGUGCGUGCAUGGUUCUACUUUUAAAGUAUGAGUCCAAUUUCAUCUUUUGCCUAAUUACCUAACUAGAUGCACCAACACUCUCUUUAAAAAGGUUUAUCUUCAUCCAGGGAUUUGAAAUGUCAUCUUUAUCAUUGACUAAAUUUUCAAAGGCAUUUGCAUGCAUCCCUAGACUUUUUAUUCUAUUACACUAGUCUGAAAUAUCUGUAAUGUCAAACACAUAUACCACAUUAUUUUAAGAAUAAAGGCUUCAUUCUAUUUAUAGUAGUAUGGUUAUUCAGACCCUCAUAGCUUAACUGUUGUUUCAUGCUUAUGUUUCCAUAAUGUCUAAUGUCUAAUUGUUUACCCCAACACCUGUGAUUUUUCUUUGUAGAGGCUGUGUUAGAAUUAUGAAUUAAAUGGGAGAACUAUUGGCUUUAGGAUAUUAAGUCAGUCACCCAGAGGAAAGAAUGUCUUCCACUGGUUCAAGUAUUUCAGAAUUAUUUUUAUCAGAUUGGUUUGCCCUUUUAUUUUAUGAAACCUAUUUUUAUUUUUUAAAAAAUCUUUUCGUUGUUAUUAUGAAUAAUUUCUUUUUCAUUUUUCUGCUCUAAAUAGUUUUGCUUGUAUAUAUAAACUAUUGACUGAUAUCCUCCAACCUUAAUGAAUUAGUUUUAUUGUUGGAAUUAAUUUUUGUCUUUGAUUGUCCAGAAUUUCCAGGUAUGCUAGCAUGAUAACUUAUUUUUUCAAUUUUCUCUCUCUCUCUCUCUCUCUCUCUCUCUAUUUUUUUUUUGUUAAAUUGUAUUGCUGACUACCUCUGGCACAAUAUAAACUAUCACAGAAGUUAGUGAACCACUUGCCUUGUUCCUAAUCUUACCAAAGUGCCUUUUGUGUUUCUUUAUUGAGAAAGAAGCUGAUGAAUCUGAAAUAAUUUUCCUAUGUACAUAUAUGAAUACACCAUAGUGAAUGCCCACCACUGUGUACAAUCACAAGAAUUGGGUCCUAAUCAGAGCAAGACAUAUUCCAUGCUUGUAUAAUUAUAUCAAAAUGAGUUCUAUUGUUAUGUGUAACUAAAAACAACCAAUAGAAAAAGAAGCUGCAUUUAGAUGGAAGGAAUAUAUAUUAAAUAAUUUUCUUGUAUUAUAACAUUAAAUAUUAGUUCUGUUUCAUUGUUUUCUUUUCCUUUGUAGGGACUCCAAUUAUAUGCAUGUGCUUGAUCUUCCAUUUCAGCUACUUCCUUUUAGAUUCCUUUUAGUUUAUAUAAUCUUCAUUUAUUUGGUUAUUUCCCUGCCUUUGUUUAAAAUUUCUUGACAAUUUUAUAUUUAAAUCUAUGUUCUCUUGGAAAUUUAUAACCUAAACUUUCUUUUUUAUUUCAUUUUAUUUCCUGGAGUUCAGUCAAUUCAAAUGAUUGAAUUAAAUUCUUUCCUUUCAUUCAAUUGAUUGUUAAUGUUUUGUGUCCAUUUUUGUACUCAAUAUUUUUAAAUAUCCCUAAAUGCUUUUUUUAAAGCAUUUUAAAAAAUGCUUUUUCUUAUUCCAGAAUUAAUUGGGCACUAAUUAGAAUUACAGCAUUUUCUUUUUUUUAUCUUUGUUUUGGGAAGGAAGGAAGGAAUUUGUCAGCUGAUUUUUUUUUUUAAAGCAGUGGCUUUGUACAAGUGGAAAUUUUAUUGUCUUUUUAUUUUGUGGCUGGGGUUAGGAAUUUGAGAUGGUUUACAAUAUUCCUAGUUUAAGAGCACCCUCUUCUGUCAUUGUAGCAAAGUGGAAUUUCUUUAAUGGAUGAUUUUUUUUAAGCAAUUUCUCUCUUUUUUUUUUAAGUAUUUUUUCACAUUGUACUUUAUAUACUCCUUGCUGCAUACACAGAAAUUCCCAACUGGUUCAUUUGUGAUUGAUACAUUUGGUUUAUAGUAAAGUCAUUAACUCUUAUCUCAAUACAUUUAAGAAAAUAUUUUAAAGUACUGAUGCUUUUCCUAGAAAUUUCAGGACUUCCACUUACAUUCAUUCAUUCAUCCAUUUAUUCAAUCUUCAGUCAACACAUUAUCCAAAUAGCUCUUACAAUAUCAGGCUUUAUUACAUACUGGUAAUGAAAGAGUAUUGCAAACAUGACCCUUUUUUUUUUCUAAAAGAAAGAGUGAUCCACUCUUACAUAUUGCCAGAUUUUAAAGGAAAGAAAAAUGAGGAAUUACCAUUUCUAUUACCUUUUAAAUUCCAAGUUAAAGUGCCUUUUUAAUAUAAGAAUUUUCUAGGAAUGGCAAAAUGUUCUCAAAAGUUUAUUUUCCUUUUAUCAUUUUAUUGUUGAUUUCUUGUUUUAUUAGGACACAUAUACAUAUUUUUGAGCAAAACUUCUAGAAUUUUAUUAGGGGUUCAUUUUGGUUAAAUACCUGAUGACAGUAUCAAUAUAAUCCCUGAAUAUGAAAAUUACACAUAUUCUUUACUGUCAUAAAGUAAUAUGAGGUAAAAAUGACAUGAAUGGAUGUGUGUAUAUAAAUAAAAUUUUGUUUUUGUUUUGAGUGUAUUUUUAAAUUGAUCAUGUCUUAUUAUAUUUAAGAAUAAUUUUUACCUUCAAUUUUUUUACUAUGUUAUUUGCUACAUUAAUAUUUUGCCUGUUUAAACAUUUUAGAGUGUUUGAUUCCACAUUAUUCCUCCUUAAAAUGUGUUUAUAAUAUAAUUUUGUUUUUUUACAUUUGUAGUGACACUACUAUUUAGUUUCAUUUCCACUUGACAAAUCUGUUUGCUCUCAUCAUUUGUUUUAUUUGUUCUUCAUCUAGGUAUAAUACUUGUUUGAACUUGAGUAUGCUGAAUUAGUUAAAAUUCUGUAUGACUGUAUAUAUUCACAUAUAUCCCAAUUUGACAGUCUGUGCUUUGCUUGACUUUUUCAUUUUUACAUUUACUUUGAUUCCUGAUAUAUGUUAAUAUAUUCUUUCCACUUAGUUUUGCUAUGUACUUUUAUUUGACACAUCUUCCUAUUUCUCUCUUUUACCCACACUGACUCAAAGGAUCUUUACUUUGCAAUUCUUUCCUCCUUUUUCUAUUGAUUUGGAAUUCAUAUUAUAUGCCUUAGUCUAUCAUUCUAACAGAUAUGUUGAUACAUCAAAAUAAUAUAAGAAUCUAGCUUCCUUAGUUGAGGGACAUUUUUCCUUUGUCCACUCAUCAGUUGCAUCCUUAGCUCUCAAAUAUGUCCAACCAUUGAUGUUUCUUAAGUAAUGGAAAACCAUUGCUUACCAAGUAGUUUCUACUCUGAUGAAUAACGAAUUAUAACCCCUGGUAAACCAAUUGUUCUAUAAAAUUCCUUUGCUCUGGAUCUGACAGGUACCAAUCCGGAGGUUCUUUCUAAAGGGAAAAUCCAAAGGCCUUAGUCAUAAGACCCUCAGGGAAUGACAAAAUUCCAAUAUUACAGAAAGGCCUGGAUGAAAAAUGGGCUUUGGUCUUCUCUCCUUGGUUCCUUGGCUAUCCCCAAGUGACAAGGAUAAUGAAUUUUCACUCUUGGAUAUAAAAGAGCAGGGCUUGACAUAAACCUACCACCUUACCACGGUAAUACUACAGUUGCUUUAAAACUCUGUAUUCUAAAGAUGAGUUUUCAUUUAACUUUAAAUCCAAAAAGACAACCUCUACAUAGAAAUGAGCUGGACACUAACUUAAAGUAGAAAUUAAUUUGAUAUUAACGGUAAUUGGAAAUAGUUUAUGUUGCUAUUUGGUAUUUUAUUAACACAUUUAAAUUAAGGAAUUGAGCAAGGAUAAUUGAAAGAAUAGGUAUUAGAAGAGUAUUUGUAAAAUCAAAUAUUUAAGAAUUGAGCAUUCAUUAAUAGGACAUUAAUGAGGUUAGUUAAAUUAUUAUAUAACCAUACAUUUGAAUAUUGUAUGCUACAUGGCAUAAAAAGACUGUCAUGAUAAUGUUGAUGUCUAACAUUCCUAUAAUAUCUUUGGUGUUCCAGGCACUGUUCUGAGUAUUUUACAUAUAAAUCUCACAACCAUCUCACAAGUUUGAUACUAUUCUCUUUUUCAUUUUACUGAAAAAAAAAAAAAGCUAAAAUACAGGAAAGUUAAUGAAUACUACAGCACCAGUGAGGGGUGGCCCUGGAUUCACAUGGACUGACACAGAAGAAUUCACAUUUCUGAAAACACAUGAACUUUUGUGUGUCCACCUGUUUGUAAAGAGAAAAAGGCCAUAUUCAAGGGGAUAUAAAUCAUACUACCAAGUAGGGCUUAGGUGCCGAAAUGUUCUACUUUUUGCCUUAUAGACUACCAUUUGCUUUAAAAAAUGUAUUAUGAUACACACACACAUGACAUUUGUACUGCACAAUUUUAAAGAAGCACAGUUCAAAUGAAGAUACUAUGGAAAGUUACAAAGGUUAUGUUUUCAUUCCUACAUUUAUAGAUAGCACUAAUUGCAAACAUUCAUUUAUAAUGAUGGUCUUCAUAGCUAUUUUGCUUUUUGAAAAGUCUUCUUUGCUCUGAAAAAUAAUACACUAAAAUAUUCGAUGGACUUCCCUGGUAGAGAAUUCCUUCCUAUAUUUUGCUCCAUUGAUUUCCCUUCUUAAGUUUCAAUCUCCUCUGUUAAAUCUUCUCCCCAACCCUAGACGUUUCUAAUCUGAGAGAAAACAGUUUUUCGCCAUUUGGAUUUCAAUGGCCAAAGUUUAUUUAAGUUCAUAAAGAUGUUGUCAAGAAUACAAAGCCCUUUGCUUGCUUAGCUAAAACUCUCUCAAAUCUUUGUGCUUACCAGCCUGAUAGGGUUAGAGGACAAAAAUGCAAAAUUUCUUUCUUUAAAAAAUUUGACAUUAAGUGACAUUUUCUACUUGUGACAUCAUUCUCCAUAUUUUUCAGGAGAUCAUAGCGACUAAUAUUAUGCAUCCCAUUUUUUUUAUCAAGUAAUAGUUUAGGAUAAGUUAAUUUUCACAGAACUGAUACUGGAAAAUUUACAUAAUUUUAUUGAGAUGUGAAAUCAAUUACAUAAUGAGACAAAAGACCUCAAGAAAACUAUUAGUAACUCAGUUUCAAUUAUGUUAGAGCUUGGGUCUAAAUAUAUUUCAUGAUAAAAUUGCUGUUGUUUUAAUUGGCAAAGGUACUUUUUGGGGAAAUAAACUACUUUUCUUAAAAAGUGUUGACUCAGAAGUAUGUAAGGACUAAAAUGGGUAUUAAUCAUUGCUUUAAGAUAUGAUUUGAAUAUCAACAUUCAAUCAGUUUUCUAAUAAGAAAAGUAAUAUAUCCAUUGGCCUGCUAGAUUAAAGAAUCAUAAACACAAACAUAAUGGAAUAUGCAUCAUUUCCUUUGGAGUCUGAAACAUUUUUUGCUCAAUUCUCUACAGGGUUAGAGGGAAAAAAAAUCAAGCAAUCUUGUAUAUGCAGUAUAAGUAAUUCCCAAAAGAAGUCACAAGUCCUGUUUUUGUUUAUUCUUGAAUUGAGUAUGCAAAUGUAUUCCUUAUCUGUACCUUAACUUUACUUACAAACAUCCUUUACCUAAACCAGAAAAUGGUCUUAUUUAUAAAUUAAUUUUAUCCUUUGUUGUUAGAAAAGAGAAAAAUGGAAUUUAAAAUAAAUAGUGAGAAAGGAGAUAUAAAGCCAAGUUCAUCUGCAAAAGGAGGAUACUCAUAUCAGAGAAAAAUAUUUUAAAAACCUGAUAUAAACAUUCAAAAUGAGGAAUAAUGAAUAUUAUUAAAAUGAUAUUUCACAUAUUGGAAAAUGUUGGAAAGCAUGCAAAAUCACAUAAAACCAUUGACAUUUUUGAAAUACACUCCCAUCUUCUUUUUCUCUUGUGCAUAUACAUAAAUGCAAAUAGUGUCACUAUUUUUACCUUAAUAACUUUAUAAAUAACCAUAUAUUGAUUGAUAUUCUAUUAUAAGAGCCUCAAAUAAGUAAGCCAGCUGCAAUAAAUAUUUAUAAAAAAGACUAUUCCUUACCGACACAUAGGACCACUUUUCUCCACCACACAAAUCCCACCAUUUUUGCAAUAAUUUAAUGGACACUCUAAAAAGAAACAUCAAAAAAUAAUACAGUUAAUUAUAAAUAUUAUUGGGAAAUAAUUUAUAUAUAACUGUUAGUUAUUGCAUUAAACCUGAUCUCUGAGAGUAAAUGGCUUCCAGGUUGGUAAUAGCAAAAAAAUUCUAGGGUAAUUGCCUCACCCCUAAAAUUUCAUUGGGGGCUCUUCUGUCCUGGGUGUGUUCAUGUCCUUCAUGUGCCCGAGUGAGACGACUCUGCACCUUCUUCUCCACUGCAUUAGGUACAAUCUACCUAUUUAGAAUAUAUUUUCAUGAUGUGAUUAUACUGGAAUCUUUUGUUGACUAGAACAUUUCUUUCAUUCCACACAAUAGUCACUAUAUCAUGGCUGAUUAAUGCUUAUCAUGGGAACCCUUGAUUUUUGGUAAAGUAAAUGACUCAUGUGCAUGUAUAUAUCUUUUUCCAUGCACCUGGCAUAAUUCAAGUCAGUCCUUCCUGCCCCAUGAUCUAUUUCAUUGCUUGCAUUGCUCCCUAGUUCUUGUUUAGCAUGAGCACUUAUUUCAAAGGCAGUUUUCGAAUGGGUCAAAAAGAAGCUAAGUAUUUUCACAUUGCUUCUACUGAGGACAGAGUUAGCACUUUCAGCUCUUCAUACUGCAUUCAUUUACACUGCCUCCUUGUAUUCUCAUUACACAAUUCUGAUCCACUAAGAGCUGCCAAUUUUCCUGUUCUCUUAAAGCCUGACUUGAAAUUCCUGGCUUUUUUUUUUAACACCUUCUUUCUUGCAGGAUACCAUUCCUUCUUUAUUGGGCUAUUUCAACUCCAAUACCUGGGUGAAAACCUUCACUAUCUUUAAUUUUUAAUACAACAAAAUAUUCUGAGUAUGUCUUGAAAGUCUGGCACUGAGCUAAGCACCAGAAAUGUAAUAAUUAAUAAUAUUGGCAGCUUAAAAUGGCUGGUAAUGCUGCAGAUACUGGAGCCAACUGCCUAAGUUGGAACCUCAGCUCAAUUUAUUAGAUGUGUAAUAUACUGAGGAAGACAGUUUAUCUCUCUGUGUUUCAGGUUUAUCUCUAUAAAACAGAAUUAAAAAUAUUUCCUAUCUAGUUUUAUCUAUAGGGUUGUUGAAACUCUUAGAAAAAUAUAUAAUUCCUACUGUGCAUUUAAUAAAUACAAUUUUAAAAAUAUAUAGUCAUGGUUUCUAUUGUCAUUGACAUUCCAGCCUCACAGAGGAUGCAAAAAAAACGUAAGAAGGGAUUAAAAUAUGGUAUGAAAAGUAAUCUCUUGGGAUGGAUUUACCAAAGGUGACAGAGGCACCCUGGAGAGUACCUCAGUCAAAUCUGAGGAGUAAGAAAAGGUUUCUGAGGUGAAUUAGUGGCAUUUAUUUAGCAGGAAUAUUUUUGUGUAAAUGUAUGCUUAAAGACAUUCCAGAAGAACAUGUAAUGUGUUGGAGGAACUGGAGGAAGUCCAGCCUGGUUGGAUUGUUAAUGAUAUGAAGAGGUGAUGAGAAAAGGUCAGAGAAACAAAAAUCCAGCAUAGGGAGACUCAAGUGAGACUAGGACUUUAAGAAGGGGAACAUCAGGCUUCAUGCUUUAGAAAGAGAAUUCUGCCUAGAGUGUGCUAUGUCAACAGAAAGGUCAAGAUUGAAAUUGAAGAGCUCUGUUAAGAGUCUUAUAACAAUCUAGGAAGAAAUUAUGAUUGUCUAAUUGAAUAGAGUGGGCAGGGGUGGAGGGUGAGAGCUGUAGGAAUUAAAGAAGUAUUUAAAUGGUGUCAUUGUAACAUCUUGGUGACUAUUUGGAAGAAUCAAAGGCGGUGUUCAAACUUUUGGCUGUACCAAUGGCAAGUGAUGCUUUAAUUCAUUGAGCUGAGUUAUUUAUGGAGAAGGAAGAUUUUUUAAAAAAAGUUUUAAAUAUUAAUUUUUUAGAAGUUGUUGAAUACAAUACCUUUAUUUUAUUUAUUUUUAUGUGGUGCUGAAGAUAGAACCCAGGGCCUUAUAUGUGCUAGACGAGCACUCUACUGCUGAGCCAUAAUCCCAGCCCCAGAGAAGGAAGAUUUUUAAAGGGAAUGAUGAUGCUAGGUUUAAAUGCCCAAAGGACUUCCAAGUGGAAGUGGAAUCUCUAUAUGUGACCCCAGGUGAAAUACCAGUUAGAGAUAUAGACCUGAAGAUUCUCUUCAGAUGCUUUCUUUUGCCUUCCAGAUAUCAUUCAUUUCUAGGAAUGCUCCUCAAAUCAUUUUUUUCAAAUUUUUUUUUCACAACAACUUUAUUUUAUUGAUUUAUUUUUAUGUGUGCUGGGGAUCAAAUUCAGGAUCUCACAUUUGCUAGGCAAGCACUCUACCACUGAGCUCCAGCUUCAACCCCUCCUGAAAUAAUUUUGAGAUCAUAGUUUUAAGUACCAUGGAGUCACACAGAUAUAAUUGUUGUCUUUAUGGAAAUAGACUAACCUUAGUAGAGAAAGAGAAACCCAUUUACUUCAGUAGAGAAAAGGUACUGAUCAUGAAGUAUAGUAAAAAAGUGAAGAAAAGAGACAGAGAUUCCAUUCAGGCAACAUUCACUGACUUAAAUAUUGGAGGAAAAGGUGUUCUGAGAGAUUUUCCAGCCAAUCAUUGAACAUGUGGAAAGAGAUACCAGAGGCAUUAGGAAAGAGGAAGUCAGAAGAGAGGGAAAUUCGAGGUCAAAACUGAAAUGUCAUGUGUCUAGUAUGAUUUUUGGUUUCAAAAACUUUUAGCAAUUUGCUUUCCCAGGAGUAUAUUUUCCAUCUUGGCCUUUGUCUAUCUUCUUUAUUUAACUAAUCAGAGAAGUGGGGUGUUGAGAAUAAGAGUAAAGAGCAACCUCCACCAGGCAUACACCAUUGAAUAGAAGAAUAUAAAACUUCCUGCAUAAACAAGAUAUGAGCUGGUUUAACUAAAAAGAGUCCGCCAAUAUGAUGGAGCACAAGUAGACCUAAAACUUGUUAGAAAAACAUUUUAUGGUUAUUUUUUUCUUAAGUACACUUUUAGUCUUCCUUAAGCAAUGGUUUUGUUCCAUUGAAAAAGCAGCGAAGUGUCUGAUACUGCAAAGCAUCAGAGUACAUAAAGCACAGCACAGCUGCACAUUUUCUUCUAGGGUCAUUAAUUUUUACUUUGAUUAGAGAGAGUAAAACAUAGGCUUACUUUAUAUCAGAAUGAUUGUGUGGGAAUCUAAAGGCAUUUUCUUGUGCUGUACAUCAGAGCACCAAAUAAAGAACAAAAUGUUGACUGAAAUAAGGAGGGCAUCCUGGUGUUUUGGAGGGCAAAAGUCUUAUAGACUGUUUCUGCAAGAAGUUUUUAUGUUUCUAUCUUAUAUUCAGGUACUUUAUUCAUAAUAUGAAGAGAUGGUGUAAAAGUAUUUUUGUCUUUAAUUUUCUCAAAAUAAUUUCCAGUAUUGAGGAUGGGGAAGGGAAUGGAUAUGACUAGUUAGUAAUGAACAGUUAGUUUUUUCUAGUAUAUAAGAAGUAGGAAUCCACGGGGGUGGCAUCAGAAUUAGCACAGAUCACGACUUUUUUGCUACAGUAAAGUCAUACUGACUUGUUUCCCCUUGAGUUGGUUUUUAUGAUCAUGUGUCUAGAAGCCCAGACAAUUCACAUCGAUUACACAGAAAUAUUCUGGGCAGAAUUCACAUUUAUUACCAUUCUGGUAUAUCACUUUGGGCAUGCAGGAACACAUAUAUUAAAAGCAAAUGUAACUGCUAAGCUUAAAUAUGCAACCAGGCACCUAUUUUGUUUUCUCUUAAUGUAUACAGAGACCUUAUGUGGAAGUUUUUUGGGGAGAUGGAGAAUCAUAUGAGCCCUUAUUUUCCCUCUCUGAUACCUGGCUCAAGCAAAUUUGAGUUGUGUGACUUUGGGACCUUUAAGUCCCAGGUUCUUCAUGUAUAAAUUAAACAUUAUAUGACUUCUUUAUAGUGACUUCUGGGAAAAUGGAACUCAAUUAACUAAGUUUAUUUGUGACAUUUCUAUACUAGUGGAUGGUAUGUAUGAGGUGUUAAAUAAUUGUUCUCAUUCAUCUCUACAUUGGUUGGAGUGGUUCUCUGUUACCUGUACAACCUAAUUUCAUGACUACCUCUGUCCGUCUCCAUCCUCUCCUUCUCCUUUUCCUCUCUCCCCUAACAUUAUAAUCAUAUCACUAUGCAAAUUUAUUGAAUGCCUCCUAUGUGUCAGGAUUGUACGAAGAGUAUUAUUGUGCCCUCUCACUUGAUCCUCAUAACAUUAUGUGGCAUAUGUCAUAACCAUUUUCAUUUUACAGACCAGGAAACUGAGGCUUCAAGUAAUCAACAUAACUUGUUUGAUUUAAUAAGUUAUAUAUAAAUAGCAAAGAACCAUUUAGACUAGAACUAAAUCUUAUUCAUCUAGAAAUGUCAAAUUUUUCGCUAUUUAGUUCAGGAUUUCAACUGCAUGUGAUUCUUAAUAUGACAUGCUCAGGAAACCCUGUGAGUCAUGGGACAUUUACUUGCUGUCACAGAUAAAUAUGCACAUACACAAUAAUCUGCAUAAGGUUUGAAGAGACCUACAGAUCCUAUGUACCCACCAGAAGUGCUUGAGAGGCAAGCCAGCUCCCAAGUGGGUAGAGAUUAUUUUUUCAUCUUGAAUCCCAGCACAGGGAAUGGAAGAGAGAUUACAGAGUCUAGAAAUUUGAAAUAACUUCCAUGGUACUUGCCUGAGAACAUUUUCUGAUUUAGUUUUGUUUUCUUUUUAAGCCCUUCUAAAACUUUAUUAACCUAUAUUGUCAUCCUCAUCCUCAUCCCCAUCAGUAUAUAUUGCUACAUAUAUGAGAUUAUAUUUGUAAUAUCCCAUCCUACAAUUUUAUAUUUUUAAUGUCUUCUUUGUGAUUUUGUGUACUGGGAAUUGAAACCAAAGGUGCUUUACCAAUGAGCUACAUCCCAAGCCCGUUUUAUUUAUUUUUUUUUAUUUUAAGACAGAGCCUUGAUAAAUUGCUGAGGCUGGCCUCAAAGUUGUGCUCUUCCUGCCUCAGCCUCCCAUGUUGCUAGGAUUAUAGGUGUAUACUAUCACAUCCAGUUUUAAUGCCUUUUUCUAAUUCUCCUUCAAAUGCAAGAUUAUCAUAAUUAGAGCAUAAACUUAGCAUAAAUUUUAUUAAACUCUACCACUGCAAAUAACUAGAGAAACAUUUCCCAUUUAAGUUUAGCCAGGCAAAUUCUAGUCAAUAAUUUCCUGUUUUAUAAGCCAUUGAAACUUGAAAAUAAUCUGCCUUUUCAAUGUAACUUAGGAACAGACAGGAUUCACUGAAAUAUACUUAACUGAGCCUGAUGGUCUUUUAAUGUCCUAAACCCUGAGGUAGGUGAAGCCAGAUGUUUUUGGUGUGUUGUGUAAGCACAAUGGGGAUUACUGGAUGCUGUAAGGAUGGGGCCCAUAAAACACUAUGAAAUGCUGAACUACCUAAAAGGAAUAUGAUGUUUGGAAAGAAAGAAGAAUAUACAACGUACACUGACAAAACUUUAGCAUGGAUGAGUCUCAAAGGCAUCUGUAAAAACAGAAGUAUGCACGUUAUCCUAUUUGAUUGAUAAACCCUAAAGCAUAAAAAAUGUAAAUAGAGAAAAUGCAAUAUAAUAUGGAUUUUAUUUCUGAAACCUAUGUUUCACUUAUUCGUUAUUUUACUCUAAUCUAAGAGCUGUGUCAAUAUGACCUACAAAUGAACUGGAAGUGAUUGGUUCUGGACUGAAACAGGCAGCGCAACAACAAUAUGUCCUCUAGUAUUAUCUACAGCUUGCCUAUCACUCGGCUUAAGUGGCAAGACUUCUGUUUUUCUGACUCUAUUUCUAAAGGUAGAUCAUGUCAAAGCAGAUAAUAAAUCAUAGCAUGUUUUGACUUGUGCUCAAAAAGGACUGUUGUAAAAAAAAUGAACUUACCUUUUGUAAAUAAUUCUGGGUAUGUCAGUACUGUGUUUUAAUCGUUUCAAAAGAACAGGAGUAUCUCACUUUUAGCUUUUUUACUCUUUAAAAGAGUAAACAGAUUUUCUUUUGGGUACCUUAUCUGAAGUCUAAGCAUGCCUGAUACAGAAAUAAUGCCAAAGAGCAUUGUUUUUGCAUAAUAUCUUUGUAUAUUUUAUGACCCCAGACCUGCUCACUUUAUUUCCUAUCAUGCUCAUAAAAUUCAGUGCUGAGUACUAGCUUAUAGCUAUAAAAAAUAAACCCUUUUUGCACUAUGAUUUGAUUAUAAUAUCAUGCUUUUGUCAUUUAUUUUUCUCCUCUCCUGAAAGAGAAAAUAUAUUUUUAUCUAUAUUUGACAUAAAAUAUUUCCAUUUUAUUUAGGAGCUAUGAUUAUUUAAGAACAGCCAAACUAUCCACAGUGUUGGUGAGCUGGAAUGCAGCUAUUAGAAGAGGUGCAUGCCAGAGCUCCAUUACACAUUACAACAGCUCUUAAGAUUGAAUAUAUCUUUUAUUACUGAUUUCUAUUAUCUUUUAGUUGCGACAGAAUUACAUUGCCCCUGUUAUUUUAUGUAUCCUUCAUGAAAUAAAAAAUCAAAUUACUCAGGAGGGAUGUUAACAAUAGACUAUAAUAAAUUAGAUAAUUUCAAAGCAGUUUUGAUAAAAGUAUCAUCACUGAUAUACACUAUCAUCUCUCAUUCUGCAUAAGUGCUUCAAGGUCAUAAGAAAUAAAAAUGAGAGUUAAUCUGAAGUGUGAUAAAUCUUCUUUAAAAUACACGACUAGAACAUGUAAAUAGGUAGCUCUUAGGAAGAAGAAAAGUACAAUUACUUAAAAAUUAAUAAUGUUAGAUUAUAUAGGAUUUCUUUAUUAUAGAAACCAUGAAAUUUUCAGAUUAUUAAAUACUAACAUUCUUAAAUUAGAUUACAUUGAAUUAGAAUUACAUAGUCUUUUCUUUAGAGAAUACUGUGUGAAACAAGCAUGAGUCCAUUAUAUUAUGUGUUUUUAAUUUUUUAAAAAGUUUCAUUUAAGGUCAAUAUCCUCCCUGCCCCAAAACAAAUCACAGAAAUUCGAUUAGCUAGGUGCAGUGGAACAUGUCUGUAAUCCCAGCAGCUCAGGAGGAUGAGGCAGGAGAAUCGAAAGUUUGAGGUCAGCCUCAGCAACUUAGUGAGACCCUAAGCAAAUUAACCAAAUCCCAUUUCAAAAUUUAAAAAAAUAAAUAAAAUAGGGCUAGGGAUGUGGUUUGGGAUUAAGCACCCCUGGAUUCAAUCCCUGGUACCCCACACCCCAAAAAGAAAAGAAACAUUCAAUUAGUCCAUGACUGCUAUUAUUUAGGAAGUCAACCUUUAAUAUUUUUAUACUACCUGCAGGUUAAGGUAUUGGUUCAUACAACAAAGAAUAUUUGAAUGGAAACGAAGUACCUGAACAGCUAGACUCAUCAAUUUGGAAAUCCAUGCAGUCAGCAAAGCCGUCACAGCGCUGGUGAGCAGGGACACAGCUGUCAGAAGAGGUGCACACCAGAGCUCCAUUAGAACAGCUCUUAUUGGCUAAAAUAAAGAAUAAUGACCCUGAUUAUAAGCAUGCCUUUAUUUUUUCCAAGCAUAUCUCUUAAUGAAAUAAUAAGACCGUUUAUUAUAUCACUGUCCAUUUUUUUCUAGACCUGUAUUUUAAAAUUUUUAAUUUUCAUUAAGUUGAAAAUUUCUCCCCAAAUUUUGUCAAUAAAAUAAUUUCCCAAAUACAUAUUUUUUAAGACUGAAUUGUGCAUAUUCCCCUCAAUUGAUGUUGAACUCCUAAUUCUUAAUAAAAUGAUAUUUUAUUUGGAGAUGGGGCUUUUCAGGAGGUAAUUAAAGUUAAGUGAAAUCAUCAGAGCCUAAUCCAAUGAUAUGAAUGUCCUUACAAGAAGAGAAAUACCAGGAAUGUGAAUGUAUAGAAGAAAGGUCAUAUGAGGACCUAGCAAGAAGGCAGCCACCUACUAGCCAAGGAGAGGAGACUUCAUACCUUCCAGUUCCUUGAUCUUGGUCCUUCCAACCUCCAGAAU